UACGUAGGGGGCAAGCGUUGUCCGGAAUCAUUGGGCGUAAAGCGCGUGUAGGCGGCCAGGUAAGUCCGUUCUGAAAGCCCGGGGCUCAACCCCGGGAGGCGGAUGGAUACUGCUUGGCUCGAGUCCGGAAGAGGCGAGUGGAAUUCCCGGUGUAGCGGUGAAAUGCGCAGAUAUCGGGAGGAACACCAAUGGCGAAGGCAGCUCGCUGGGACGGUACUGACGCUGAGACGCGAAAGCGUGGGAGCAAACAGGA
rnacentral:rRNA from 1 species